CACGGAUCAACUCCGGUUGAUCCUGCCGGCGGGCACCGCUAUGGGAGUUCGCUUAAGACAUGCGAGUCGAGAGGUGCAAGACCUCGGCGGACGGCUCAGUAACACGC
rnacentral:rRNA from 1 species